UACGUAGGGUGCGAGCGUUGUCCGGAAUUACUGGGCGUAAAGAGCUCGUAGGUGGUUUGUCGCGUUGUUCGUGAAAACUCACAGCUCAACUGUGGGCGUGCGGGCGAUACGGGCAGACUGGAGUACUGCAGGGGAGACUGGAAUUCACGGUGUAGCAGUGAAAUGCGUAGAUAUCGUGAGGAAGACCAGUGGCGAAGGCGGGUCUCUGGACAGUUCUGACACUGAGGCACGAAGGCCAGGGGAGCAAACGGG
rnacentral:rRNA from 1 species